AAAUUUACCAACAGCUAUAAAGAUUGCAAGUCGAGCGGACAGAUGGGAGCUUGCUCCCUGAUGUUAGCGGCGGACGGGUGAGUAACACGUGGGUAACCUGCCUGUAAGACUGGGAUAACUCCGGGAAACCGGGGCUAAUACCGGAUGCUUGUUUGAACCGCAUGGUUCAAACAUAAAAGGUGGCUUCGGCUACCACUUACAGAUGGACCCGCGGCGCAUUAGCUAGUUGGUGAGGUAACGGCUCACCAAGGCAACGAUGCGUAGCCGACCUGAGAGGGUGAUCGGCCACACUGGGACUGAGACACGGCCCAGACUCCUACGGGAGGCAGCAGUAGGGAAUCUUCCGCAAUGGACGAAAGUCUGACGGAGCAACGCCGCGUGAGUGAUGAAGGUUUUCGGAUCGUAAAGCUCUGUUGUUAGGGAAGAACAAGUACCGUUCGAAUAGGGCGGUACCUUGACGGUACCUAACCAGAAAGCCACGGCUAACUACGUGCCAGCAGCCGCGGUAAUACGUAGGUGGCAAGCGUUGUCCGGAAUUAUUGGGCGUAAAGGGCUCGCAGGCGGUUUCUUAAGUCUGAUGUGAAAGCCCCCGGCUCAACCGGGGAGGGUCAUUGGAAACUGGGGAACUUGAGUGCAGAAGAGGAGAGUGGAAUUCCACGUGUAGCGGUGAAAUGCGUAGAGAUGUGGAGGAACACCAGUGGCGAAGGCGACUCUCUGGUCUGUAACUGACGCUGAGGAGCGAAAGCGUGGGGAGCGAACAGGAUUAGAUACCCUGGUAGUCCACGCCGUAAACGAUGAGUGCUAAGUGUUAGGGGGUUUCCGCCCCUUAGUGCUGCAGCUAACGCAUUAAGCACUCCGCCUGGGGAAUACGG
rnacentral:rRNA from 1 species